CUGGAGGAACAAUGUAAAGGCUUGUAGCAGCCUGGGGCCUGAGACUGAAGAGUCCCUCCAACACUCCUGACCGCAGAGGCAGCCUGCGAGGGUUUUGUUGUCAUAAUGAGAUGCAGAUAAAGCCGGGCCUUGGUCCUUAAUGCGUGUGCCUCUUCUCUUCCUGUUUAGAGAUCUGAGCGAAAACCAGAUCCUGGGGAUCCCGAGGAAGGCGUUCCGUGGCAUCGGCAACGUGAAGAACUUGCAACUGGACAACAACCACAUCAGCUGCAUUGAAGAUGGAGCCUUCCGAGCGCUGCGCGAUUUGGAGAUCCUCAGCCAGCAAUGGCUUCAGUGACCAGUGUGUGAGCACAUUCAGGGAGUAUCUUGCUCUCGUUCAGCUCUCAUCUCAUGGCUCUCAAGGGUCUCCAGGCCAGGGAGCCGUGACUCCUUGAAGAGUGGAACCUGCCCCUUGCUCAACCUCCACUUCCAUCCAGGAUGCAGAAUAUUGGCUGGCUCAGCUCACCUGUGGCCAAGAGUCCUUUACUCUGCAGAAAUGUGUCCUGAAAGUCAAGGUCCUCGGAACUCAAGCAGGAAAUUGACCCCUUCUUGCUAGUUGACUCUCCGGAGGGGAGGAUGGCAUGGGGAAGACAUGGAGAUGCAGUGCUGGGGAG